rnacentral:rRNA from 1 species
AUGGUUAAGUUAGAAAGGGCGCACGGUGAAUGCCUUGGCACUAGGAGCCGAUGAAGGACGGGACUAACACCGAUAUGCUUCGGGGAGCUGUAAGUGAGCUUUGAUCCGGAGAUUUCCGAAUGGGGAAACCCACUGUUCGUAAUGGAACAGUAUCUUUAUCUGAAUACAUAGGAUAUUGAAGGCAGACCCGGGGAACUGAAACAUCUAAGUACCCGGAGGAAGAGAAAGCAAAUGCGAUUUCCUGAGUAGCGGCGAGCGAAACGGAAUUAGCCCAAACCAAGAGGCUUGCCUCUUGGGGUUGUAGGACACUCUAUACGGAGUUACAAAGGAACGAAGUAAAUGAAGCGACCUGGAAAGGUCCGUCGAAGAAGGUAACAACCCUGUAGUUGAAACUUCGUUCCCUCUUGAGUGGAUCCUGAGUACGGCGGAACACGUGAAAUUCCGUCGGAAGCUGGGAGGACCAUCUCCCAAGGCUAAAUACUACCUAGUGACCGAUAGUGAACCAGUACCGUGAGGGAAAGGUGAAAAGCACCCCGGAAGGGGAGUGAAAGAGAUCCUGAAACCGUGUGCCUACAAGUAGUCAGAGCCCGUUAACGGGUGAUGGCGUGCCUUUUGUAGAAUGAACCGGCGAGUUACGAUCCCAUGCAAGGUUAAGCUGAUAAGGCGGAGCCGUAGCGAAAGCGAGUCUGAAUAGGGCGUUUAGUAUGUGGUUGUAGACCCGAAACCAGGUGAUCUACCCAUGUCCAGGGUGAAGUUCAGGUAACACUGAAUGGAGGCCCGAACCCACGCACGUUGAAAAGUGCGGGGAUGAGGUGUGGGUAGCGGAGAAAUUCCAAUCGAACCUGGAGAUAGCUGGUUCUCUCCGAAAUAGCUUUAGGGCUAGCCUCAUGUUGUGAGAGUCUUGGAGGUAGAGCACUGAUUGGACUAGGGGCCCCCAACGGGUUACCGAAUUCAGUCAAACUCCGAAUGCCAAAGACUUAUCCAUGGGAGUCAGACUGCGAGUGAUAAGAUCCGUAGUCAAAAGGGAAACAGCCCAGACCACCAGCUAAGGUCCCCAAGUAUACGUUAAGUGGAAAAGGAUGUGGAGUUGCUUAGACAACCAGGAUGUUGGCUUAGAAGCAGCCACCAUUUAAAGAGUGCGUAAUAGCUCACUGGUCGAGUGACUCUGCGCCGAAAAUGUACCGGGGCUAAACGUAUCACCGAAGCUGUGGAUUGACAUCUUUGAUGUCAGUGGUAGGAGAGCGUUCUAAGUGCUGUGAAGUCAGACCGUAAGGACUGGUGGAGCGCUUAGAAGUGAGAAUGCCGGUAUGAGUAGCGAAAGACAAGUGAGAAUCUUGUCCACCGAAUGCCUAAGGUUUCCUGAGGAAGGCUCGUCCGCUCAGGGUUAGUCGGGACCUAAGCCGAGGCUGAAAAGCGUAGGCGAUGGCCAACAGGUUGAUAUUCCUGUACCACCUCCCCGCCGUUUGAGUAAUGGGGGGACGCAGUAGGAUAGGGUAAGCGCGCUGCUGGAUAUGCGCGUUCAAGCAGUUAGGCUGAUGAGUAGGCAAAUCCGCUCAUCAUAAAGGCUGAGCUGUGAUGACGAGGGAAUUAUAGUACCGAAGUUCCUGAUUCCACACUGCCAAGAAAAGCCUCUAGCGAGGCGGGAGGUGCCCGUACCGCAAACCGACACAGGUAGGCGAGGAGAGAAUCCUAAGGUGAUCGAGAGAACUCUCGUUAAGGAACUCGGCAAAAUGACCCCGUAACUUCGGGAGAAGGGGUGCUCUGGUAGGGUGUAUAGCCCGAGAGAGCCGCAGUGAAUAGGCCCAGGCGACUGUUUAGCAAAAACACAGGUCUCUGCGAAGCCGCAAGGCGAAGUAUAGGGGCUGACGCCUGCCCGGUGCUGGAAGGUUAAGAGGAGGGGUUAUCCUUUGGGAGAAGCUCUGAAUUGAAGCCCCAGUAAACGGCGGCCGUAACUAUAACGGUCCUAAGGUAGCGAAAUUCCUUGUCGGGUAAGUUCCGACCCGCACGAAAGGCGUAACGAUCUGGGCACUGUCUCAACGAGAGACUCGGUGAAAUUAUAGUACCUGUGAAGAUGCAGGUUACCCGCGACAGGACGGAAAGACCCCGUGGAGCUUUACUGUAGCCUGAUAUUGAAUUUUGGUACAGCUUGUACAGGAUAGGUAGGAGCCUGAGAAGCCGGAGCGCUAGCUUCGGUGGAGGCGUCGGUGGGAUACUACCCUGGCUGUAUUGAAAUUCUAACCCGCGGCCCUGAUCGGGCCGGGAGACAGUGUCAGGUGGGCAGUUUGACUGGGGCGGUCGCCUCCUAAAAUGUAACGGAGGCGCCCAAAGGUUCCCUCAGAAUGGUUGGAAAUCAUUCGUAGAGUGUAAAGGCACAAGGGAGCUUGACUGCGAGACCUACAAGUCGAGCAGGGACGAAAGUCGGGCUUAGUGAUCCGGUGGUUCCGCAUGGAAGGGCCAUCGCUCAACGGAUAAAAGCUACCCCGGGGAUAACAGGCUUAUCUCCCCCAAGAGUCCACAUCGACGGGGAGGUUUGGCACCUCGAUGUCGGCUCAUCGCAUCCUGGGGCUGUAGUCGGUCCCAAGGGUUGGGCUGUUCGCCCAUUAAAGCGGUACGCGAGCUGGGUUCAGAACGUCGUGAGACAGUUCGGUCCCUAUCCGUCGUGGGCGUAGGAAAUUUGAGAGGAGCUGUCCUUAGUACGAGAGGACCGGGAUGGACACACCGCUGGUGUACCAGUUGUCUUGCCAAAGGCAUCGCUGGGUAGCUAUGUGUGGACGGGAUAAGUGCUGAAAGCAUCUAAGCAUGAAGCCCCCCUCAAGAUGAGAUUUCCCAUAGCGCAAGCUAGUAAGAUCCCUGAAAGAUGAUCAGGUUGAUAGGUCAGAGGUGGAAGCGUGGCGACAUGUGUAGCUGACUGAUACUAAUCGAUCGAGGACUUAACCAAA